AUAGGCCUAACACAUGCAAGUCGAGCGAUUAAAGCCUUUCGGGGUGUAUAAAGCGGCGGACGGGUGAGUAAUGCCUAGGAAUCUGCCUAUUAGUGGGGGACAACCAGCCGAAAGGUUGGCUAAUACCGCAUACGCUCUACGGAGGAAAGGGACAUUGUUUCGCUAAUAGAUGAGCCUAGGUAGGAUUAGCUAGUUGGUAAGGUAAAGGCUUACCAAGGCGACGAUCCUUAGCUGGUCUGAGAGGAUGAUCAGCCACACUGGAACUGAGACACGGUCCAGACUCCUACGGGAGGCAGCAGUGGGGAAUAUUGGACAAUGGGCGAAAGCCUGAUCCAGCCAUGCCGCGUGUGUGAAGAAGGUCUUCGGAUUGUAAAGCACUUUAAGUUGGGAAGAAGGGCAUAUGCAACUAUGUCUUGACAUUACCAACAGAAUAAGCACCGGCUAACUCUGUGCCAGCAGCCGCGGUAAUACAGAGGGUGCAAGCGUUAAUCGGAAUUACUGGGCGUAAAGGGUGCGUAGGUGGUUUGUUAAGUUAGAAGUGAAAGCCCAGGGCUUAACCUUGGAACUGCUUUUAAAACUGGCAAACUAGAGUAUGAUAGAGGGUAGUGGAAUUUCCUGUGUAGCGGUGAGAUGCGUAGAUAUAGGAAGGAACAUCAGUGGCGAAGGCGGCUACCUGGAUUAAUACUGACACUGAGGCACGAAAGCAUGGGGAGCAAACAGGAUUAGAUACCCUGGUAGUCCAUGCCGUAAACGAUGUCUAUUAGCUGUUGGGUCCAAUUGAGGGCUUAGUAGCAUAGCUAACGCAAUAAAUAGACCGCCUGGGGAGUACGGUCGCAAGAUUAAAACUCAAAUGAAUUGACGGGGACCCGCACAAGCGGUGGAGCAUGUGGUUUAAUUCGACGCAACGCGAAGAACCUUACCUGGCCUUGACAUGUAGCGAACUUAUCAGAGAUGAUUUGGUGCCUUCGGGAACGCUAACACAGGUGCUGCAUGGCUGUCGUCAGCUCGUGUCGUGAGAUGUUGGGUUAAGUCCCGUAACGAGCGCAACCCUUGUCCUUAGUUACCAGCACGUUAUGGUGGGCACUUUAAGGAGACUGCCGAUGACAAAUCGGAGGAAGGUGGGGAUGAUGUCAAGUCAUCAUGGCCCUUACGGCCAGGGCUACACACGUGCUACAAUGGCAGUGACAGAGGGAUGCAAUACUGCGAAGUGGAGCCAAACCUUAAAAGCUGUCGUAGUCCGGAUUGUUCUCUGCAACUCGAGAACAUGAAGUCGGAAUCGCUAGUAAUCGCAAAUCAGAAUGUUGCG
rnacentral:rRNA from 1 species